UACGGAGGAUCCGAGCGUUAUCCGGAUUUAUUGGGUUUAAAGGGUGCGUAGGCGGCUCAUUAAGUCAGGGGUGAAAGACGGUAGCUUAACUAUCGCAGUGCCUUUGAUACUGAUGAGCUUGAAUGUAGUUGAGGUAGGCGGAAUGUGACAAGUAGCGGUGAAAUGCAUAGAUAUGUCACAGAACACCAAUUGCGAAGGCAGCUUACUAAAGUAUGAUUGACGCUGAGGCACGAAAGCGUGGGGAUCAAACAGG
rnacentral:rRNA from 1 species